rnacentral:rRNA from 1 species
GUGGAUUAGAUACCCUGGUAGUCCACGCCGUAAACGAUGGGCACUAGGUGUCGCGGGUAUUGACCCCUGCGGUGCCGUAGCUAACGCAUUAAGUGCCCCGCCUGGGGAGUACGGCCGCAAGGCUAAAACUCAAAGGAAUUGACGGGGGCCCGCACAAGCGGUGGAGCAUGUGGUUUAAUUCGACGCAACGCGAAGAACCUUACCUGGGUUUGACAUCCCUAUCGUAUUUCAUGGAAACAUGGAAGUCAGUUCGGCUGGAUAGGUGACAGGUGCUGCACGGCCGUCGCCAACU